GCAUUCAAACCAUCAAUAGUAAGACCACGCUCCAGUUGUACUUCAGCACCUAGACCAAGUCCUAAUUUACGUACAGUGCACCAAUGUCGACGCCAAGUUUUCCACGAAACAAAUGACCUUUUUCUCAUCAAGUUACCAGGCAUCCAGUAAAACUCUACCCUACCUGUGUAAGUGCUGAUGUACUGGAUCGAUUUACAAAACGUAUACAGACGAAAGGGCAAUGAAACUCCCCACUCUGUUACUUUGAUUUUUCCCCCAGGUGUCGCUGAUAACGUACUUGUUAUCCUGGCUGUAGAGUCCAGUUAUGCUACUUCAUUAGAAAGGAAUGACCGAAAGAAGCCAUGGAACUAGAAAUUUGUCAUAAUUUUUAAAAUCUCUAAGCCCAUAAAAACGAUAUAAGUUACCAUACAAAAAAUUAAAACUUAAGUUAUUAGUUUCGAUUUAUUCUAUAGGUUCAAGCUGUCGCUUCUUUUAAGUGAUAAACAAAUAAGAUAUGGAAGUAAAAUUUUUCGUUUUAAAAAUUUCUAAACGAGUUCAUCAAUUUUUCUUAUCUUCGGACUUGACCAAAGUAAUUGUCUAAAAAAGUGAACGAAAUUUCAUUAGUGUCCGAUAAAAAUUAUAAGUACUGUCGUCAUAACGGCGCCUUGUAUUUAUUACACAUAGAUAGUGAACCAAUAAUAUUUUUGGAACCUACUCGACAAAAUAAAAUGUAAAAAUUUUGUAAAAGUUGCGCUAUAAAUACAAACGCAAUAGUUAUUGUUAUAAAAUCUAUUAUAAAUUAAUAUCAAUAACAAUAUGUAUGCAAGCCGCAUAAUUUAAGUAUAAUAUUAAUAUAAAUUAUAGAAUUAUAAUAAAUAUACGUCAUGGAAAAUUUUAUUAUCGAAG